UCUGGCACUCCCUAGUGAGAUGAACCCGGUACCUCAGAUGGAAAUGCAGAAAUCACCGUCUUCUGCGUCGCUCACGCUGGGAGCUGUAGACCGGAGCUCGAGAACUACUUUUUAAUUAGGGCUUGGGAUUAGCCAUUGCCAUAGAAUGGAGUGAAUAACAGAGAAGAGAAACUGUGACUAAUUUAAGAGUGAUAAUCAUACAAUUGCAAUUUGGAGAAGAUUGACCUGAAAGAACUGCAGAGGAAGCAUGCUCUUUGUGUAAGAAAUCCUUAAAUUCCACACAAAAUCUAUAUAGUCUUCCUGGACAUGAUGCAUAAGGAAAUCCUAAGACUGCAUGCCGAGUUUAACCAAUUAAACUGGAAUAAACUGGAAUGAAUUUGCAUUUGGGAAGUAAAACACUAUCCAAGGGGCAUAAGAACAGCUGGGCUCCUACUGAAGGAGACACAUAUGGUGUUCAUUGUGGGGUUUUGCUUCUUAUUCCCUUUGAGUAAGAAUAAAAUGAUCUUAUUUUUUGCUCUUCAAAAAUCUUCUCUGGUUAUUUUUCUGGUGUCAUUGGCUGGCAUAUUCCGAUCCAUAGGAAGAAGAAGGGAGCAGAGAUGAAGUCUUCCUCUCCUACUGCCUCUGGGCAGAGGUGAAGAACUUUUGAAGGCAUGCACCAUGGGGUUAUGAGACCCACUCAGCUAGACAUAUGUUUUGGAAGAUAUGUGUGUUACAGCAGCUUCUUAGGACCCUGUGGAAUGGGAAAAGCAUCACCACUUCUUUACUCUGACUCCUGGAACCUCAGGUUAGAAUUGAGCCUUGUUUUGCAUCUUGUUAAUUUAGAUUCUCCUUACUCAGUCAUCCCACUUUUUUCAGAAUCUAUUUUAUAAAAAUAAAAGUACUGGUAUACAAAGAUAUUUACAGAGACAAUAUUUGUAGUAACAACAACAACAAAAAGGGCUGGGCGUGGUGGCUCACGUCUGUAAUCCCAGCACUUUGGGAGGCCAAGGCAGGCAGAUCACUGGAGGUCAGGAGUUCAAGACCAGCCUGACCAAUAUGGUGAAACCCCAUCUCUACUAAAAAUACAAAAGUUAGCCAAGUGUGGUGGUGAGUACCUGUAGUCUCAGCUACUCAGGAGGCUGAGACAGAA
rnacentral:lncRNA from 10 species